UACGGGGGGAGCAAGCGUUGUCCGGAAUCAUUGGGCGUAAAGAGCGUGUAGGCGGCCCGAUAAGUCCGCCGUGAAAGUCCAGGGCUCAACCCUGGAAUGCCGGUGGAAACUGUCGGGCUGGAGUCCGGAAGAGGCGAGUGGAAUUCCUGGUGUAGCGGUGAAAUGCGCAGAUAUCAGGAGGAACACCAAUGGCGAAGGCAGCACUCUGGGACGUGACUGACGCUGAGACGCGAAAGCGUGGGGAGCAAACAGG
rnacentral:rRNA from 1 species